rnacentral:tRNA from 1 species
UCCCAUAUGGUCAAGUGGUUAGGAUUUGGCGCUUUCACCGCCAAGGCUCGGGUUCAAUUCCCGGUGUGGGAA